UCGAGAAUCUUCGGCAAUGGGCGCAAGCCUGACCGAGCGACGCCGCGUGGCGGAAGAAGGCCUUCGGGUUGUAAACGCCUGUUGGGGGGGAGGAACACUGACCGAACCCCUGAGGAAGCACGGGCUAAGUUCGUGCCAGCAGCCGCGGUAAGACGAACCGUGCGAACGUUAUUCGGAAUCAUUGGGCUUAAAGCGCGCGUAGGCGGCACGCCAAGUGCCUGGGUGAAAUACGAUCGGCUCAACCGUCGUUUGGCCCGGUAUACUGGCGCGCUCGAGGGGGGUAGGGGCCGGCGGAACUUCCGGUGGAGCGGUGAAAUGUGUUGAGAUCGGAAGGAACGCCAGUGGCGAAAGCGGCCGGCUGGAUCCUACCUGACGCUGAGGCGCGAAAGCUAGGGGAGCGAACGG
rnacentral:rRNA from 1 species